rnacentral:misc_RNA from 1 species
AACGCACCUUGCGCCUUUUGGUAUUCCGAAAGGCAUGCCUGUUUGAGUGUCAUGAAAUAUCAACCCCUCCUGGUUUCUGAUCAGUGUUGGGCUUGGACUUGGGUGUCUGCCAGCUCGCUGGCUCGCCUUAAAAGAGUUAGUGGUAAUAACAUCCACGGCUAAGACGUAAUAAGUUUCGUCUGGUCAAGGUGGGACGACUGCUCAUAACCCGACCGCAAGGUCAUUAUUUUAUGCUCUGACCUCAAAUCAGGUAGGACUACCCGCUGAACUUAA